rnacentral:rRNA from 1 species
CCUACGGGAGGCAGCAGUGAGGAAUAUUGGUCAAUGGACGAGAGUCUGAACCAGCCAAGUAGCGUGAAGGAUGACUGCCCUAUGGGUUGUAAACUUCUUUUAUAUGGGAAUAAAAUGUUCCACGUGUGGGAUUUUGUAUGUACCAUAUGAAUAAGGAUCGGCUAACUCCGUGCCAGCAGCCGCGGUAAUACGGAGGAUCCGAGCGUUAUCCGGAUUUAUUGGGUUUAAAGGGAGCGUAGGUGGAUUGUUAAGUCAGUUGUGAAAGUUUGCGGCUCAACCGUAAAAUUGCAGUUGAAACUGGCAGUCUUGAGUACAGUAGAGGUGGGUGGAAUUCGUGGUGUAGCGGUGAAAUGCUUAGAUAUCACGAAGAACUCCGAUUGCGAAGGCAGCUCACUGGACUGCAACUGACACUGAGGCUCGAAAGUGUGGGUAUCGAACAGGAUUAGAGACCCGAGUAGUC